rnacentral:lncRNA from 1 species
CCCCUCCGUAGCAUGGGAUUGGUCCAUUCAAGACCAGGAAGGAGGAGGGGGACCCCUGGAGCACAACAUUUUGAAACUCACAAUGUACUUGAGGUUUGGUGCUUCUCCUCAGAACUGUGGAAUAAUACGUCCCUCUCCUGCUUUCCAAUUUUGUGUUUGGGAUAUGAAGUUGCUAGGCCACAUGGUCUCUUCUCUGGAAAGCCUAAUGGGGCCCCAGAAGAGAGUCUUCUCCUUCAGCCAGCUGAAGUGAAGUUAGCUUCUUCUAUCUUCCUUCUCAAAGCUGGAAGCCAGAAGUUCCCAAACUGACUUGAAGUUUGAAGAGUCCUAAAGAAAACUGUAAGAGAACUAAAGCUGUCUAGCUCUUGGCACCUCCACCGAACCCCUUCUGCAGGACUGGACAUUUAACAACGAGGAGUCCAUCCCAAACCAAUGGGCUUUGGAACAAGGAUUAUGUUUAUAUUGGAUGAAGUAUGAUUAGGAAAGCAAAUUGCCUCACUCUGUGAAUAAAAAGAAUCUUAUGAUGUAUUCUCA